ACCGCAUAAACGUCUUCGGACCAAAGUGGGGGACCUUCGGGCCUCACGCCAUCGGAUGUGCCCAGAUGGGAUUAGCUAGUAGGUGGGGUAAUGGCUCACCUAGGCGACGAUCCCUAGCUGGUCUGAGAGGAUGACCAGCCACACUGGAACUGAGACACGGUCCAGACUCCUACGGGAGGCAGCAGUGGGGAAUAUUGCACAAUGGGCGCAAGCCUGAUGCAGCCAUGCCGCGUGUGUGAAGAAGGCCUUCGGGUUGUAAAGCACUUUCAGCGAGGAGGAAGGCAUAAAGGUUAAUAACCUUUGUGAUUGACGUUACUCGCAGAAGAAG
rnacentral:rRNA from 1 species